UACAACAUUUGAUUUUCUUCUCUCCAUAUGUGCCUCUGUUUGAUUGCGUGUUAAUUAUUAUUGUUUGAAUUUUGACAACAUGACUCUGGAAUAUGUUCAUGUUAAUGGGAUUACACAGAGGAUAGAUUCCAUGUUGGAGGACAACUUGGUUGGUAUUAAACCUGGUGGUAUCGAAAGCUUGACCUCAGUGAACUGGGACGGACAGAUGUUCUCAAUGAAAUAGUAAACAGUACUACAUUUCUUCUCGGACCGUCAGAGGGACAGAAACUAGGCUGUGUUUCGUCAAUCAACUGUGUAUGGUCUGUAUUUCAGUCGGUAUUAAAUAGAUGAUUUAU